rnacentral:misc_RNA from 1 species
AUGAGGGUGGACAACAAGAUAUUCAUAACUUGGAACAUAAGGAGGUAGAAGAAAAACGGAGGAAGAAACUAAAGGCAUGGGAGGAGUUGAGCAUUAAAAACCCGAUGGUUUUAGAGUUGUGUGGAGUCGUUUUCCCUGUAAAUCCAAGAUCUGUGUGGAGAGGACCCCAUUCAUUGCUUCCGCAGCACCGAGCUUCUCGAACUAGCGCCAUUCACAUGGCCAUAGAAGAGUUAAUGAAGUAGUAGCUAAAUUAUUGUAUUACUUGCAGAUAGG